AAACCUAAAGGCGUAAUGAAAGUGAAGGAAACUUUGUUUUCGAGGGAGGAUGGGUUAGGUUCUUGAUUUCAAGGCCGGCCUCGCACUCCCGGGGCGUCUCUAUCUCAUUGCGAGAGGAGGCGCACCUAGAGCGUACACGCUGAUACCCGAAAGAUGGUGAACUAUGCCUGGCCAGGACGAAGCCAGGGGAAACCCUGGUGGAGGUCCGCAGCGAUUCUGACGUGCAAAUCGAUCGUCGGAGCUGGGUUUAGGGGCGAAAGACCAAUCGAACCAUCUAGUAGCUGGUUCCCUCUGAAGUUUCCCUCAGGAUAGCUUGCGCUCGGUUAAACGAGUCUCAUCCGGUAGAGCGAAUGAUUAGAGGCCUUGGGGUCGAAACGACCUCAACCUAUUCUCAAACUCCAAAUAGAUGAGAACCCCGGCUUUCUUGAACUCUGUUUAUGAAGCCGGGGGCUCGGAUCAGAGU
rnacentral:rRNA from 1 species